rnacentral:antisense_RNA from 1 species
CCUGGUGGCGCUGUGCCGUGUGUGACAACUACGGAGAGCAGAUUACAUUAUCAAAAGCACCAAGUUGAAACAUUUGCAAGGUGUGCAUCAUUUCACAAUUAUUGGCAAUGGUUCAAUGGUUUCAUCUGCUUUGAAUGGUUUCUUCUCUUCAUUAAGAGGUGAGGAAACUGAGCACUAAGACAUUAAAUAACUUGCCCAGGGUCAUACGACAGACAUGAGAGGUUUAUAUCAGGCAGUCUCCACCCCUGUUCCGAAGUCAAGAGGCUGACUCGGGUUGCUACUUCUUGACAGACCAGACCCCAGAUCGCCGAAGACCAUUUGGACACACUUCUAUCAAAUCCUGGCAGUCUCCUUCUAACAGGUAUGCAGUUUUCUCUUUAGACCCCUAAUACACAGAUAAGACUUGAAGGAAUUUAUCUGCAUUCCCUGAUUGGUGUGGCAAUGGAAGCCCCGCCCUGCAUCCCGACGCUGAGCACAGCUGCAGCUUUCGCUUGUUCAUUCAUUCAGUAGAUAUUAUUUUCAUGCCUAC